CUUUGCAUACAGUCAGAAGCAUAAACUCGAGACAAAAUAAAUUCCAUGUGGUGUUCUUUCUUACUUCCAAUAAAACUGAGCAAGAGUGUUCGAACGAAGCAAUGGCAAAAGAGUGCCGAUUGACUACGUGCAACAUUUUUAAACCGUUGCUGAAAUACUUUCAAAAAAAUAGAAAAGAGCUAGAACGAUGUGAACGUAUAGAUGGAGAAAUAAUCGAAUUGAAACAAAAGAAAAAGAAAAUCCAUAAAACAUUGAGGAAUAGGCUGCAAUCUGAAAACGAAACCAAUAAAGUUUUGAAAAAGAAAUUGCGAUAUCAGAUAGAAGCAACAAAAUUUAAGUAUCGCAUAUAAUUUGUAAAUCUAAUAAAAAAUCAGUUAAUAUAAAAAGUAAAAAUCACACAACAACAAUGUAAAAAAUAGCAGAAAAUCAAAAAUAAAGUAAAUUACAAUUAUUAGAGAGUCAACCUAAGAUACAUCCGAAGCAUAGGGAUUUGAUUUUAUGAACACCUGGAUAUUCUCCAAAAAGCAUGCAACUAGAUGGAAUAUUAUUAAGUGAAGUCCGACUUAAUUUAUCAAGUUCUGCCUGUCCUAAUAGCAUUAUGACUAUCAGAAAUUCUUAAAUUAAGUGGGACAUCACACAAUAAUAAUCACUCCGGUUGCAUUCUUUAUGGAGAAUAUACAGGUAUUCAUAAAAACAAAUCCUUAUCAUUCUCACGUAACUUAGUUUCACUUUCUUUUAAUUGUAGUUACAUUUGAUUUGAUUAUUCUCUCCGUUCGAUUCGUUCACGUCAUUUCAAAUUCUUUGUACUAUGCUCGUUGCCAAAACUUUAAAAUAUUUGACGGAAUUCUCAACAAUUCUUCUCGAUCACACUCUUCUAGAACUUCACUUGUGAAUUCUGAAUGUACCUGGGAUUUUACAAUUGGACUUGAAUAUCUUCACAUGGAUUUGUUUGCAGUUCAUCCUUCCUAGUGUCACACCAAAAUUAGUACAUUUUAUAAAAUAUAAUGAAAAUUCAUUCCACUUCAUGAUUUAUACAAAUUAAACUUAGUUCACUUCAAUUGUACUAUAUUACUAUA